rnacentral:snRNA from 1 species
CAAGGUGCAGGCCGGCGGCAGAGCUAACGGCAAGCGAAAGGCGCUCGCGGGGGACCUGAUGGGGAGCGGCGGCGUGAAGCGGCCGC